rnacentral:misc_RNA from 1 species
GAAAUGCGAUAAGUAGUGUGAAUUGCAGAAUUCAGUGAAUCAUCGAAUCUUUGAACGCAUAUUGUGCCCUUUGGUAUUCCUUAGGGCAUGCCUGUUCGAGCGUCAUCUAAACCUUCAAGCCCUGCUUGGUGUUGGGUGCCUGUCCCGCCUCCGCGCGCGGACUCACCUCAAAUCCAUUGGCGGCCCCCGCGUCGGCCACGAGCGCAGCAGAAACGCGAACUCGUGAGCCCGUCCGGGCGGCUCCCAGAAGCUACACCCACCCAGUUUGACCUCGGAUCAGGUAGGGAUACCCGCUGAACUUAAGC